GAGUAACUAUUUUGUUUUCACGAGGAUGUAAGGAUUUAACAAAUUCAGGAUGGAGUUUAAAUUUGUCAGCAGGAACCAGGCUAGCCAAUUCUCGUCUGGUCUUAGCAACAGAACUCAAUCCAGCACCAGUCAAAGUCCAACCAGGUUGGUAAUAAUGAUACUUGGCACCAUCCACAAUACCAAUUUCACCGGGUUUGAGGGAUGUAUCUUUGCCUUGGUCAUUGGCAAAGCGGUAUUUAGAAAACUUGUUGUAAAUUUGAUGGGCGACGGAUAUACCAGCGGAUCCACCACCAACUACUAAAACCUUGUGAUGGGUAGAGGCGAAUCGAGCCAACAUGGAAGCGGACUGAAAUGAGCCGGUGACCGACUUGAUUGUUGAGU